rnacentral:rRNA from 1 species
CCCUUAGAUGUUCUGGGCCGCACGCGCGCUACACUGACGGAGGCAGCGAGCAUGUCCUUCGCCGAGAGGUGUGGGGAAUCUUGUGAGUCUCCGUCGUGCUGGGGAUAGAUGGUUGCAAUUGUCGAUCUUGAACGAGGAAUUCCUAGUAAGCGCGAGUCAUCAGCUCGCGUUGAUUACGUCCCUGCCCUUUGUACACACCGCCCGUCGCUACUACCGAUUGAAUGGUUUAGUGAGAUCUUCGGAUUGGCGCCUACGCGGCUUCUCUGAGGCCACGCUGGAUGCCGAAAAGUUGCUCAAACUGUAUCAUUUAGAGGAAGUAAAAGUCGUAACA